UACGUAGGUGGCAAGCGUUAUCCGGAAUUAUUGGGCGUAAAGAGCGCGCAGGUGGUUGAUUAAGUCUGAUGUGAAAGCCCACGGCUUAACCGUGGAGGGUCAUUGGAAACUGAGGGACUUGAGUACAGAAGAGGAGAGUGGAAUUCCACGUGUAGCGGUGAAAUGCGUAGAGAUGUGGAGGAACACCAGUGGCGAAGGCGACUCUCUGGUCUGUAACUGACGCUGAGGUGCGAAAGCGUGGGUAGCAAACAGGAUUAGAUACCCGGGUA
rnacentral:rRNA from 1 species